rnacentral:rRNA from 1 species
CCUACGGGUGGCAGCAGUGGGGAAUAUUGGACAAUGGGCGAAAGCCUGAUCCAGCCAUGCCGCGUGUGUGAAGAAGGCCUUCGGGUUGUAAAGCACUUUCAGUGGGGAAGAAAGCCUUGGGGCUAAUACCCUCGAGGAAGGACAUCACCCACAGAAGAAGCACCGGCUAACUCCGUGCCAGCAGCCGCGGUAAUACGGAGGGUGCGAGCGUUAAUCGGAAUUACUGGGCGUAAAGCGCGCGUAGGCGGUCUGAUAAGCCGGUUGUGAAAGCCCCGGGCUCAACCUGGGAACGGCAUCCGGAACUGGCAGGCUAGAGUGCAGGAGAGGAAGGUAGAAUUCCCGGGGGAGCGGUGAAAUGCGUAGAGAUCGGGAGGAAUAACAGUGGCGAAGGCGGCCUUCUGGACUGACACUGACGCUGAGGGGCGAAAGCGUGGGUAGCAAACAGGAUUAGAUACCCCAGUAGUC